AGAGGUGUGAACAGCACUGCUAUGGCAACAUUAAAUGUUGGGUAUGUAAAGAGGCAGGAAAAAUUACACGAAAAGGAAAAAAAAUAGACUCUUGAAAAAAUUUCCUGAAUACGGACUGUCAUGACAUUAAUCAUCUGAAUGAGACUAAAAGGGGAAGAUUCUUCUUGAAAACAUGACAACACGCUGAUUUAAAUGAAGAUGUUAACAUCUGACACUAUGUUGUGUCAUGAUGAAGUAGCACGGAGAAGCAUGUGUGAUGACAACAAGGGUUAGUGCUUUAUUACAAAUGACACUGAAGAGCCAGCACUACUUCCAGGAGCUGUGGAACAAACUGUA